CUUAUUACUGCAACUCGCCUCGGCCGAGCUCGUUGCGUCCGCCUUCGUCCCCUUCCUCUUAACCCCGACUAUGCGGCUUGGGAGAUCCCGCAGUGGAUCCUCAGUUCCGACCAAUCUUGUUCGCUCCCUGUUCUCUUCUCUACCAGGACCCCGGACCGCCAUCCCGAGCUCAUCUCACCGUUCAGCUUCCCCAGUGGAGAGCUCAUCUACUGCAGGGUCUAGUUCAUCUGUCCCCAGAAUCUUGAAUCCCCCUUUUGGGUCUUGCAGAAAUCUCUCCCAUCAAAAGGGGACCUUUUCAGCUCCAGCUUAUGAUAUCGUGAAGAACAUCAUCAGGUCUUCGUGUUCUUCAUCGAGUUCCCUCGUCAGUAGAAGGCGCUAUUUUGGGGGCGUGCGGCUGCUGAGUAAUCAGGCAGCAGUUGAGGCAUCGACCUCUGAUGGGCUCACAGUGGAGGGAAUCCUCUCCAGUCAGUGGACGAUUCUCGAUGAGAGCGAAGGUGAUUGGAAGAGCCAUGCGGCUGCAAUUGCCCAGUCCAUUCACCUUAUCAAGAAGCGCCUGCAGUGGAAGAAAUUGCUGGUGAGGUUCCAGGUGCUGUCGGCUCAGUUGGAGAAGCCGGAUAUAUGGAAUGAUCCGGCACAUGCUGGGAGGCUAAGCCGAGAGCAGGGCUCCCUCUUGUCAAGGAUGAAAGAGGUUGUGGAAUUCGAAAGAGAACUGCUCGAGAAUAUUGACAUGAUUAAACUUGCACGUGAGGAGAAUGACUCUGAGUUGGAAUUGGAAUCUUUGAACGCUCUGGUUAGGAUGAGAAGGAUCUCAAAAGAGAAAGAGCUCGAAGCUUUGCUAGCUGGGGAGCAGGAUCCUUGCUCUUGUUACAUAGAGGUGCAAGCUGGAGCUGGGGGCACCGAAAGCAUGGACUGGGCUGCAAUGGUCAUGCAAAUGUAUAAGCUAUGGGCCCAACGACGAGGGUAUGGGGUCACCGUGGUAGAUGAAAUGUCUGGUGAUAUUGCAGGAAUCAAGAGGGCCACGAUCAAAGUGGAUGGUGAAUAUGCAUUUGGAUAUGCAAAAUCAGAGGUGGGUGUCCACAGGCUGGUCCGGAUCUCCCCAUUCGAUAGCAACAAACGGCGGCAUACAUCAUUCGCUGCUGUGGCAGUGAUUCCAAUACAGGGAGAUGGGUCCACGCGUGUGCAGAUAAAUGAAUCCGAUCUCCGAAUUGAUCGAUUCCGAUCUGGAGGAGCCGGAGGACAGAGUGUAAACAAGACUGAGAGUGCCAUAAGAAUAGUUCACAUCCCCACAGGAAUCACAGUCACUUGUCAGAACGAAAGAUCGCAGCAUAUGAACAAGGCUUCAGCAAUGGCUGUGCUUCAAUCAAGAUUAGACCAGCUCGAGAGGGCUCGACAGGCUCAGAUGAACGCUGAGCAUACGCAAUCUCUCACCGACAUUAGUUGGGGCAAUCAAAUCCGUACCUACGUAAUGCAUCCCUAUCGCAUGGUUAAGGAUCUCCGAACUAACUUUGAGGUAUCUGACCCUGAUUCCGUGCUUGAUGGAGAUAUUGAUGGGUUCAUCCUCAGCUAUCUGUCGGCUUCCCUGGACAAAGAUGAAGAUGACCGGUAGGAAUAUCCAGCUGAGCCAAAGUUAUACUUUUUAGAUUCUUGGUGUUUGCAUAGCACCUAUAGCGAUUUCCUAUCUGGUGAGAACAGAGGAACGGAAACAAGCCCUGUUGGAACUGACCCUAGCUACCAGCUUAUACUGGGAAGGCGGGUGAAGGGUGGAUGAUAUCAAAAUGGAUUCUCGGAUCAUUAAAACAUAGAGGAUCGCCAAGAUUUUGUUUAUCCUCCAUCAAACUUUUUUCAAUUGCAAGAGGUCCAAUUGAUUCGAUAGUAUAUGCCGAAAUAUGAGUUUAAGCUACAUAUAUUACUAUGGUUAGCUGUUAUGUCCUGCUAUUAUUACAAUCGGCAAUUCCUACCCUUGAGACAGCA